rfam:Salmo salar isolate Sally breed double haploid chromosome ssa15, whole genome shotgun sequence.
GGCUCGUUGGUCUAGGGGUAUGAUUCUCGCUUCGGGCGUGAGAGGUCCCGGGUUCAAAUCCCGGACGAGCCC